rnacentral:rRNA from 1 species
GCCACCAUGCAAUCGAACGGUAACAGAAGAAGCUUGCUCUUUGCUGACGAGUGGCGGACGGGUGAGUAAUGUCUGGGAAACUGCCUGAUGGAGGGGGAUAACUACUGGAAACGGUAGCUAAUACCGCAUAACGUCGCAAGACCAAAGAGGGGGACCUUCGGGCCUCUUGCCAUCGGAUGUGCCCAGAUGGGAUUAGCUAGUAGGUGGGGUAACGGCUCACCUAGGCGACGAUCCCUAGCUGGUCUGAGAGGAUGACCAGCCACACUGGAACUGAGACACGGUCCAGACUCCUACGGGAGGCAGCAGUGGGGAAUAUUGCACAAUGGGCGCAAGCCUGAUGCAGCCAUGCCGCGUGUAUGAAGAAGGCCUUCGGGUUGUAAAGUACUUUCAGCGGGGAGGAAGGGAGUAAAGUUAAUACCUUUGCUCAUUGACGUUACCCGCAGAAGAAGCACCGGCUAACUCCGUGCCAGCAGCCGCGGUAAUACGGAGGGUGCAAGCGUUAAUCGGAAUUACUGGGCGUAAAGCGCACGCAGGCGGUUUGUUAAGUCAGAUGUGAAAUCCCCGGGCUCAACCUGGGAACUGCAUCUGAUACUGGCAAGCUUGAGUCUCGUAGAGGGGGGUAGAAUUCCAGGUGUAGCGGUGAAAUGCGUAGAGAUCUGGAGAAUACCGGUGGCGAAGGCGGCCCCCUGGACGAAGACUGACGCUCAGGUGCGAAAGCGUGGGGAGCAGACGGGAUUAUAUACCCUGGUAGUCCACGCCAUAACGAUGUCUACUUGGAGGUUGUGCCCUUGAGGCGUGCUUCCGAGCUAACGCGUUAAGUCAACCGCCUGGGGAGUACGGCCGAACGUUAAAUUCAAUGAAUUGAAGGGGCCCGCCAGAGCGGUGAGAUGUGUUUAUUCGAUGCACCGCCUACCUGUUGACGAGUUGCGU